rnacentral:piRNA from 1 species
UAUGCUUGCGAUGGAUAUGUUAAGUG